GUUGGAGAACUAUUUCGAAAAUAUAUUGGCCAGUUUUGCGCGUUAGUGCCUAAUAAUUGAGGCUUCUUCCUGAGUAGUGGGGGCUGUCGUCGACCGGUGGUCGGUGACUAAACUCCGUAUCCAAGCAACCAAAAAUUAUCAAGCUAUUACGAUUUUUUAACCCAAAAUUCACUAACUUUAGAGACCUUAAUCGACCUGGAAGUUUGACUCCAAACAGUAUGUAAACAAUUCACAUUUCACAGUCUGUAUUUGAAUUUUCAAGGUCAGUAAUGGCGUCUUCGGAGUUAAAAGAUGGUUCCAGAAGGGUGGAGGAAGCCGAUGAUGAAGGAAACUCGAAGAAGGUAGAUUCUGGCGAGAUCAAGCACAGUGAUGGUGAGAAGAUGAAGAAGAAGAGUAAAAGAAUUUCUUAUAGCAUGCUUAAUUUUGGGUGUUUUGGUGUAAAAUCUGAAUCGGACGGGAAAGGGAAUUUGGAUAUUGAGAUUGAAGACGAGUUACGGAGAAGGAACCCUACUCACUUGGUCAUAAUGGUAAAUGGUCUUAUUGGCAGUGCUCAGAAUUGGAAGUUUGCUGCUAAACAGAUUUUGAAAAAGUUCCCAGAUGAUAUUGUUGUUCACUGCAGUGAAUCUAAUUCUUCAAUGUUGACGUUUGAUGGUGUUGAUGUAAUGGGAAAGAGAUUGGCAGAAGAGGUUAUAUCUACGGUAAAGCGCUACCCAGGUGCUCAAAAGAUUUCAUUUAUUGGCCAUUCAUUAGGUGGCCUGAUAGCAAGAUAUGCCAUUGCUAGGCUUUAUGAACAAGAUAUCACAGUAGAACCAUCUCAGGUAGAUGGAGAUUGCAGACCUGAUAGCUCUUCUAAAGAUUCACGAGAAGAAAAUAAAUUCAAAGGGAAAAUUGCUGGAUUGAAGCCCAUUAAUUUCAUAACCUCCGCAACUCCUCACCUUGGUUCAUGGGGGCAUAAACAGGUUCCAGUUUUUUGUGGCCUUUACACUAUGGAAAAAGUAGCAUCUCGUACAUCUUGGUUUCUUGGUAAAAGUGGGAGACAUUUGUUUCUGACUGACUGUGAUAAUGGGAAACCUCCCCUUCUUCUUCGGAUGGCCAGUGACACUGAAAAUCUUAAAUUUAUUUCUGCAUUAGGAUCCUUCAAGCGUCGUGUUGCCUAUGCAAAUGUGCGUUUUGACCACCUUGUCGGUUGGAGUACAUCAUCUCUAAGGCGUCAAAAUGAACUCCCAGAGCUCAAAAGGCUGUCACGAGACAGUAAAUAUCCACAUAUUGUUAAUAAGGAGACAGCAAGAACUGCCAGUCCUGAGGAUGAAGCGCCAAUUGAGCUCAAAGUUGGCAAUGGAGGCAAGAAUGUUAACAUGGAAGAGGAAAUGUUAAAGGGUUUGACAAAACUGAGCUGGGAAAGAAUUGAUGUGAGCUUUAGCGGGAGUAGACAAAGAUUUCUUGCGCACAAUACCAUUCAGGUGAAAGGAUCGUGGAUAAAUUCUGACGGAGCUGAUGUGAUUGACCACAUGGUUGAAAAUUUUCUUGUGUAAGCGGGUGUUGUUAUGCAAUGAUCUAAAGUUAGUGGAGUUGCCCCUAAAUCCAAAUUCAGCCUGGGGAAGAAUACAAUAUUGAGGCAGCAUUUUGUCAUCUGAGUUGGUGACCUCCAUUUAAAUCAGAAGAUGAAGCUUGGUUACAUGGUUGUCUCUUGUUAAGCUAAAGAAGCAUCAUCAUCCAAGGCUACUCGAACCUCAUAACUUGGCUUAUCGUCAACUGGAGUUGAAAAUGAUGAUCUUGGGUUGUCGGAUGGCAACGGUCCCUGAAUUGAAGAAGACGAUUCUUGGGCUGUCGUCAUUGGGAAGCUUACUUGUCGUCGGCCAACGAAGAAGACGCAGCUUGUAGUACAAGUUGCAGAAACAAAAAGGCUACUCCUGGUAUCAUGCCAUACAUGUUUGACGCGUUUAAAUUGUUCUCCAAUCGUUGGCACUUGACAGGCACUAAGUUCUUCAUCCCUAUGCAUGGAUGUGGUCAAGAUGGUGGUAGAUCGUUAUGCCACUCACGUGGCAAGCUUUUAUUAUAUAUAAUAUUUAUAUGGAGGUAAGAGACACAAGGUGAACCCAUGAGCUACUUUGUUUUUGUUUUUUAGAAGUGAGACAGAGUAUACCCAUGUGAUGCUGUAUACCCAAGUUAGUUAGAAUAUGAAGCUAAUUACUCUUUUGUUUGUCUGUAGAAAUUGUGACAGCCCAUUUAUAGUUUCUCCAUAUUCUUGUCGUUUUUGUUUCGAUGCGUCAAAACUGUAUUGUUUUGGGUAUCAUUUAUUUACCUAAUGCAAAACCUGGUUCACUUUUA